rnacentral:piRNA from 1 species
AAAAGAAGGCUCGCCUUCUAGACUGGG